AAGUUGGGCUUGCUCCCCUCUUCUCCUGCUCGUUGUUUUUCUCCUGGGCUUGCUCCUUCUUCUCCUGGGCGUGCUCCUUCUUCUCCUACAACAACAGCAACAGCAGGCUAAUGACAACAGUAGUUUGACAACAGCAGUAGAUGGGUUCAAAUCAAAACAGACUACAUCAUCUAAAUCCAAUACCAGAACAGAGAGGCUAACCACGCAAUCUACACCAGACACGGUAAUUAAGGAACCACCAAGCCAAAAUCUACUUCUAAACAAACAUCCUAAACAUCCUAGGCACGCCAAUCGCAAACCCGUGGGCGGAGGUAAGAGAGAAACCGCCCCCGUACCGAGGGGAAUCGCAAACCCGCGGGCGGAGGUAACAUCCUAACCAUUUGUUGGACACCUUACUCUGGCCGGCGCCACCGUACGCCCUCACCGAUGCCCCCAGCCUCGCCCAGUUCAGCUCUCUCACUGCACAAAAAAAUGAUACAUUUCAGAACUUGCAAUUUCAGAGAAUAUACUGAAUAAAUACGCCGCCCACCCGAUUGAGCGAGCCACAUGAAUUGUUGCUUGAGUUGACUUGAGAAAGUGAUAGUACGCUGAAGGAAUAAGCUAUAGUCCUGGUCAAUCAGCGAUGACCCAUGAGCCCAAUACAGUAGAGCAUAGGCACAAAUCGUAUGCUUGUUGCUCACGGACAUACUGGUAGUACAGACAUGCACACAACACAAGACAACUACCAAGCAUCCAACAUCAGUGGUUUAUCUCCUAUAAAAGUGCAACCUUAUUUUGCAUCUACACUAGCCCCUAAUCAUGCAACAAUUUACAGUAAUUUGAGGAGUAUUUGCUAGGAUCAUGAUGACAAUUUUAGAUUAAAUCGAAGUGUUUGUCAUCCAUAGUUGUAUGGUUCUAUCUAGGAUUACAUAAAAACAGAGAAAACAGGGAGCUACCCAGCAUCCACGACUAGAGCUAGUAGUAGGAACACAUGGUACAGUAGUAGAGCCGUAGCACAACUACUAUCAGCUGGCAAGGCAUGCGUUGUGCUACCUACUCAUGGUUCAGAGAGCCAUCUUGCUGAACCUGAACCUGAAUGGUCUUAGCAAUCCCUGACAGAACCUGAACUAUCAGAUGUGCAUGAUUGGGAGUAGUAGUACGUACAUGAGGAUGUUGAGCGGUAGGCCCCUGUCAGCGAAGUCGGCUGCGAAGUUGCGGACGGAGGUGACGAAGGAGGGAAAGGGAUGGCUCUGUGGACGGAUCCCGCUCAACAUCCCGCUCCAUCAUGGCGAGGAAUAAAAAGUUGCAGACGGAUGCUCCAUCACGUCCACGCUCGCGCCAGGGGUCUCG
rnacentral:lncRNA from 1 species